rnacentral:lncRNA from 10 species
CCCUGACGCACAUAAGAAUCACCUGGGAGCUUUUAAAUACUACCGAUGCCAGGACCUCAUGCCAGAGAUUCUGAUGGACUUGGAAUGGGGUGGAGCCUGAAGGCUGGCCUAUUCUAAAGGCUCUUCAGGGAUUUUUAAUAUGCAGCUAGGAUUGAAAAUCACUUACGUAGACAUACAGUUUUUAUGUUUUAACAAAUACUUUUAAGGCAAACAAACUACUGGGAUGAUCUUUGGAUGCACCACAGAACUUUUUCAGAAGCAUUUGGGCGUCCCAAUGAUUUCUACUUCUAAAGAGUGCUAGUGAAUGAGGGAUUUUGAUUGAGGGCUUACUUUGCUGCCUUAGUGUUCUCUCCUAACCAGAAGCCUUUCUGUUUUGGAAUCAUGGAGCACAUCUUUUGUGGGCUGCGAAAAGCUCUAGGUGGAAGGGAAGAGCAUCAGGUGGUGAAGCUGAACCAGGAGAGUCUAAAAACCACGUGGCCUCUCAGGCACCCUUGAGUCUAGAGGGAGUUCCCUGAUCUUACAUUUGAGAGUGAUUCUAGGGGCCAACACCUUGAGGCCAGAGGCAACAGAAAGAGGAUUGAGUGAAGCAGGAAGCCUGCAAAGCCCUGGAUUCCAAUCCAGCUCUAGCUGCGAGGCGCUGGGCACGGGUCACUGCUCUGCGGCUCUGCUUGCUUGUCUGCAAGGGUUCUGCAAUAGCCAAGCAACAAAUGGAAGCUGUCAGAAAGUAUUUGUAGGAACAGUUAUGGAAGAAAGCUGCGAGGUUGUUGAAACGCUACACAGACUACAUUUUUUUAGCCUAUGCAUGAGUAGAAUACUUUCCUAAAAAUGUAAUUGACUGUGGACGUGUGGCAUACAGCAAGCCCUCUGCCUAGGCUUUUGAAAUCCUCUUAUUUUCACUGAUGCAAAACCGGCAUGGUGUCUUUCAAGGAUCUUUUCAACUCACCCUGUGUCAUCACACGCACAUUACUGAGCAUUUGAUGCUGUCUUACCUCCUGUUCUCUAGACCCGUCCCUCUUCCUCUUUCUUCCUGUCUUUUCUGUUCUAUCUGUGCUCUGGAUCACUCUGUGGCACCAAGGACACUGCAGGGGCUUUAGCUCCUGGUCCUUAACUGGCGGCGCUCAAAUCUACUGACUUUACUGACCUCUGCCCAAGCCAUGAACUGAGACCGACGAAUAGAUCACCCAAACUCCCAGCAACCAGCACAUGGCAGUUGUGCAGGGCCUUUUCCAUGCGGCAUAAUUUCGUGGAAUUUCUCUCUCUCCUCAUCUGGCUCUGAUUAUUUGCUGAUUUGUAAUUUUAGUUAUUCGUGUGCAAGUCUUAUCUCCUUUGCCAGACUGUAUGCUCCUGAGCAACAUGCACUAUGCUUGAUGCAUUUUGUGCGUCUUCUCUCCUUCCUGGGCUUGGCAUGGUGCUCAGCACAACGUGGAAAUUCAGUAGAUACAUUGUGAGUGAAUUCAUGACAUUGAAGCUAGGAACACAGAAUAUCCUAAAGAUAAUCCAGGUAUCAAUGCCAGAGAUUGGUCACAUCCUGGCUAAAUCUGUAGCUAUUUAAACUAAGUUUCCAGUUUCUUAUUUCCAUAGCUAUGAAAUCAAGAGGAUAUAUAUUUUAAAGUUUCCACAAUAUCUUGUUUUCAGAGAUUUGAAAUCAAGAUGUUAUAUCUUCUUCCAUUGAGUAGGAAAUAGCUCUCACGCCCUGCUGUGGCAGUACAAGGCUGAAGGAAUUAUAAUGAUCCUUGAACUCAAGUCUCCUGAUAACACAUUUUAUUAACUGGUAGGAGACUAGAAUAAGACUUGUGGGUGAAACUAGUAUGUCUCAAGCAAUUCUAAUUUCCAGGCACAGAAACUGUACUUUGUAGCAGCAGAAUUUUAUUUGAGAAGUGACUUUACUAGGGGAAGUCCUACCAAUUGUUUAAUUUCUUUUUCACCCUAAAUGAUAGGAAAAGGGGAAAUCAUAUAGCCUCAAAUACUCAAAGAUAUUUAACUUUAUAAACAGGAAGCACACGAGGGUUGCAUUUUGUUUGCUUAAUGGCAAUUUUUGGGAAAUACACAAGAAACUAAACAACUAUGUUUAUGAACGUUUUUAACUUUUCCAAUCUUUCUUGAUUCUUUCUUUCUCACUACAUAGAGAUUUAAAAUAAUAAAAUCAGUUAUUGCAAUGAUUAAAAUGGUUUGAAAAAACUAGUACUUUUCCACUUCUUUUGCUUUCCAGAAAAAGAACUCAUGUGUUCCAAAUUAUAUUUUUCCUCAAUUUCUGUUCAGUCCUUCAUAUUACAUUUUAAUUGGGAUAAAAAAUUUUUUUUCAAUUCACAAGCUCAUCAAUCCAGAGGAGAUACUUCUAAUAUAAGUUAUAAGAGCAAACAUUCAAGAAAACUGAAGUUGGAAACAUGUUUGUGUCUUUUUUCCAUGACUAACCCAUGUCUAUUCUCUAUGAAAUUGAUGUCAAAAAGGUAUUAUAUAUUUUCAGUAGGAAAUAGAAGGCUGCCCUCUACUAUCCUUGUCAGGACGUCGUAUCCCUUUAAUCAUACUUUUCAUUUCAGUACAUUGAAAUUUCCGUUACCAAGGACAACAUCAUAAAUAAAAGUGUUUGUGAAAUUUUACCUGCAGCUUCCUAACUUUGUGCAUUAAGCAUGAGACUAGCAGAGAGGUGGUCAAAUGUGAAAAUUUAUAAUCAUUUAUUACGUACGGCUGAAGCAAGAAGGGAAUAAAAGCGUGAAGGCAUACAUCUAUAAACGGAAGCCGAAAACCUUAAAUGAAAAGUAAAGUGAAUUUCUGUGUCUUGUCAUAAAGUAAUGAGAAGCUAGAGCUUUUAUUCAUAGCAACCCAAGAUGCAUUUACUCUCAAUCUAGCUUCAGCAGUAAACGCUUCCCUGAUGUAUUGCUUUGGACUUACAAAGAAAUAUUUGUGCUCUACAUAAUAGUAUAGUUAGGAGAAUUACUGCAUGGUUGAGAAGAUUCUAUAAAGCUUUAUAGCUGGUGGUGUUACUGUAAUUUAAUCACAAUGUAGCUAAUGUAGUACUUUAAUAUCACAGGUUACUUUUUUAUUUACCAUUUAUUAGUAACUGACAGAGUCAAUCAUCUCUACAUCAUAAACAAAUCAUGGAGGGAUUCUAUAGGAACCCUAAAAUUCCGGGAUAGAUGUACUAUGGCUGUUUUACACUACCACAUUCCCUGUAAUGAGCUAACCAUCAAAUUAUUAUUUAGAUCUGUGAAAUGUAAGGCAGGCUCCUUGUUCUUAGUCCAUUGGCCAAAGAAAACUUGAGGACAUUUUAUGUCAGGAAUACAAUUAGCACCGCAUGUCAUUUAUGCUCAGAAAUAACUCAUUGAUCCAAUUCUAGCAAAAUCUAGAAGCAUUUUCUGAAAAAUGUUAAGGUAUUUAGCUAAAAUUUUUUCUAACUGUUCUGUAAUCUAUUCAUGAACAUUACCAUAAUGUUAAGCUUAAACCAAUGCUUUGUCAUUAGGAUUUUUAAAUGAAAAGUAUGUUUUUAUACUUGAAAAUAAAAUACAAAUGCUUUUGUCAUUUCUGUUUACAUAUAUUGCUCUCUUGAUAGAUUAUAGAUAGAAAGAUAGAUAGACA